UGCUGGAACACUGGCUCUCGGUGUAACGGAGCUGUUACCUGGAGAUGUUGAGGUCAGUACGGUUGAGAGCAUAGUUCUUAAACUGAAGAAGGAAACCUGUUGAUAUACAGGAAAAGAUGAUGUAUCACUGAAAUGUGCUUCUUAAUAGAUGGAAAGGAAAAUUCCAAAACACGUGAGCGAAUAUUUGCUGGGAAAUUACUUGGCUGGAACCUGACAAUCUUACCCAGCAUCCGGGAGGUUGAUGAAUAAUAACGGAGCUAUAAAUGUCACUGACAAGCAACCUUGCUUUAAAUGAGGGGUCGCUGUCUGCCCAUGGAAAGAGGCCAGUUUGCAGUAACCUUCCUGAGGGCUAAUUCCACGAGAUUUACUUGUAUGAAAAAAGGAAAAGCUCUUCAUUUUACUGACAUGGGAAGGAAACCUACAAAUGAAGACAAUAUAUUGAUUUUUAUUUUUGUAAACAGAUU
rnacentral:lncRNA from 1 species